UUCGUACGUAGCAGAGCAGCUCCC
rnacentral:piRNA from 6 species